UACGUAGGAGACGAGCGUUAAUCGGAAUUACUGGGCGUAAAGCGCGCGCAGGCGGCUAUCCAAGUCAGUGGUGAAAGCCCGGAGCUCAACUCCGGAACUGCCAUUGAAACUGGUUAGCUUGAGGACGAGAGAGGUGAGUGGAAUUCCCAGUGUAGAGGUGAAAUUCGUAGAUAUUGGGAAGAACACCGGUGGCGAAGGCGGCUCACUGGCUCGUAUCUGACGCUCAGGCGCGACAGCGUGGGGAUCAAACAGG
rnacentral:rRNA from 1 species